rnacentral:rRNA from 1 species
AACGCGAAGAACCUUACCAGCCCUUGACAUCCCGGUCGCGGACUCCAGAGACGGAGUUCUUCAGUUCGGCUGGACCGGAGACAGGUGCUGCAUGGCUGUCGUCAGCUCGUGUCGUGAGAUGUUGGGUUAAGUCCCGCAACGAGCGCAACCCCCGUCCUUAGUUGCUACCAUUUAGUUGAGCACUCUAAGGAGACUGCCGGUGAUAAGCCGCGAGGAAGGUGGGGAUGACGUCAAGUCCUCAUGGCCCUUACGGGCUGGGCUACACACGUGCUACAAUGGCGGUGACAAUGGGACGCAAAGGGGCAACCCCGAGCAAAUCUACAAAAAGCCGUCUCAGUUCGGAUUGUGCUCUGCAACUCGAGCACAUGAAGUUGGAAUCGCUAGUAAUCGCAGAUCAGCACGCUGCGGUGAAUACGUUCCCGGGCCUUGUACACACCGGAGUA